AUGAACGCUAGCUACAGGCUUAACACAUGCAAGUCGCGGGGAAACGACAUCGAAAGCUUGCUUUUGAUGGGCGUCGACCGGCGCACGGGUGAGUAACGCGUAUCCAACCUGCCCAUCACUUGGGAAUAACCUUGCGAAAGUAAGACUAAUACCCAAUGACAUCCCACGAAGACAUCUGAAUGGGAUUAAAGAUUUAUCGGUGACGGAUGGGGAUGCGUCUGAUUAGCUUGUUGGCGGGGUAACGGCCCACCAAGGCAACGAUCAGUAGGGGUUCUGAGAGGAAGGUCCCCCACAUUGGAACUGAGACACGGGCCAAACUCCUACGGGAGGCAGCAGUGAGGAAUAUUGGUCAAUGGGCGAGAGCCUGAACCAGCCAAGUAGCGUGCAGGAUGACGGCCCUAUGGGUUGUAAACUGCUUUUAGAAGGGAAUAAAGUGGGUCUCGGGAGACUUUUUGCAUGUACCUUAUGAAUAAGGACCGGCUAAUUCCGUG
rnacentral:rRNA from 1 species